GGGCACCAUGAGGGGCUCGCGGCCUAUCAGCUAGUUGGCGAGGUAACGGCUCACCAAGGCGACGACGGGUAGCUGGUCUGAGAGGAUGGCCAGCCACAUUGGGACUGAGAAACGGCCCAG
rnacentral:rRNA from 1 species